GAUGAACGCUGGCGGCGUGCCUAAUACAUGCAAGUCGAGCGAACGGACGAGAAGCUUGCUUCUCUGAUGUUAGCGGCGGACGGGUGAGUAACACGUGGAUAACCUACCUAUAAGACUGGGAUAACUUCGGGAAACCGGAGCUAAUACCGGAUAAUAUUUUGAACCGCAUGGUUCAAAAGUGAAAGACGGUCUUGCUGUCACUUAUAGAUGGAUCCGCGCUGCAUUAGCUAGUUGGUAAGGUAACGGCUUACCAAGGCAACGAUGCAUAGCCGACCUGAGAGGGUGAUCGGCCACACUGGAACUGAGACACGGUCCAGACUCCUACGGGAGGCAGCAGUAGGGAAUCUUCCGCAAUGGGCGAAAGCCUGACGGAGCAACGCCGCGUGAGUGAUGAAGGUCUUCGGAUCGUAAAACUCUGUUAUUAGGGAAGAACAUAUGUGUAAGUAACUGUGCACAUCUUGACGGUACCUAAUCAGAAAGCCACGGCUAACUACGUGCCAGCAGCCGGCGGUAUACGUAGGUGGCAAGCGUUAUCCGGAAAUAUGGGGGCGUAAAGCGCGCGUAGGGCGGUUUUUUAAGUCUGAUGUGAAAGCCCACGGCUCAACCGUGNNAGGGUCAUGGGAAACUGAAAAACUGNAGUGCAGAGAGNAAAAGUGGAAUUCCAUGUGUAGCGGUGAAAUGCGCAGAGAUAUGGAGGAACACCAGUGGCGAAGGCGACUUUCUGGUCUGUAACUGACGCUGAUGUGCGAAAGCGUGGGGAUCAAACAGGAUUAGAUACCCUGGUAGUCCACGCCGUAAACGAUGAGUGCUAAGUGUUAGGGGGUUUCCGCCCCUUAGUGCUGCAGCUAACGCAUUAAGCACUCCGCCUGGGGAGUACGACCGCAAGGUUGAAACUCAAAGGAAUUGACGGGGACCCGCACAAGCGGUGGAGCAUGUGGUUUAAUUCGAAGCAACGCGAAGAACCUUACCAAAUCUUGACAUCCUUUGACAACUCUAGAGAUGGAGCCUUCCCCUUCGGGGGACAAAGUGACAGGUGGUGCAUGGUUGUCGUCAGCUCGUGUCGUGAGAUGUUGGGUUAAGUCCCGCAACGAGCGCACCCUUAAGCUUAGUUGCCAUCAUUAAGUUGGGCACUCUAAGCUGACUGCCGGUGACAAACCGGAGGAAGGUGGGGAUGACGUCAAAUCAUCAUGCCCCUUAUGAUUUGGGCUACACGCGUGCUACAAUGGACAAUACAAAGGGCAGCGAAACCGCGAGGUCAAGCAAAUCCCAUAAAGUUGUUCUCAGUUCGGAUUGUAGUCUGCAACUCGACUACAUGAAGCUGGAAUCGCUAGUAAUCGUAGAUCAGCAUGCUACGGUGAAUACGUUCCCAGGUCU
rnacentral:rRNA from 1 species